rnacentral:rRNA from 1 species
AGAGUUUGAUCCUGGCUCAGAUUGAACGCUGGCGGCAGGCUUAACACAUGCAAGUCGAGCGGUAACAGAGAUAGCUUGCUAUCUGCUGACGAGCGGCGGACGGGUGAGUAAUGCUUGGGAAUAUGCCUUUGAGUGGGGGACAACAGUUGGAAACGACUGCUAAUACCGCAUAACGUCUACGGACCAAAGGGGGGGAUCUUCGGACCUCUCGCUCAUUGAUUAGCCCAAGUGAGAUUAGCUAGUUGGUAAGGUAAUGGCUUACCAAGGCGACGAUCUCUAGCUGGUUUGAGAGGAUGAUCAGCCACACUGGGACUGAGACACGGCCCAGACUCCUACGGGAGGCAGCAGUGGGGAAUAUUGCACAAUGGGCGAAAGCCUGAUGCAGCCAUGCCGCGUGUGUGAAGAAGGCCUUCGGGUUGUAAAGCACUUUCAGUUGUGAGGAAAGGGGUGUAGUUAAUAGCUGCAUUCUGUGACGUAACAACAGAAGAAGCACCGCUAACUU